rnacentral:tRNA from 1 species
GGGGGGUUGGCACAGUGGUAGCGCAUCUGAUUCCAGUCCAGAAGGUCACGCGUUCGACUCGCGUACCCCUCA